AGAACUUAAUGUAAGAAAUAGCAAAUUUCUAUCGAUUGAAUCGUCACGAUGUAAACCGCCCUUUAUUUCAAAGGAGAGCCAGGCAAAGUACAAGAAAGAACGAACGAAUAAAAAUAAGAAUAAAAAGAAAAAAAAAAAUAAAAAGCCUAAAGUUCGAAAUUCUCGACGAUCGACAACACAGGCGAUCGCUGGAUCUCUCGAAAGAUGGGUCACCAGUGAAUCACCGCGUUUCGCCAAGGUAGCGCAUAGCGACGCGUCUAUUUCGGUUCUUGAGGGCCUCUUGGGGGCGAAGUGACUCGAGGGGUGGCCAGUCUAUGAUUCAACGUCCGCCUCACCACCAAAAACUCGUGUACUCUGCACACAUUCUGUCUUCUGUACGUGUGGAAUCAACGGAGGAUACCCACCUGGUCUCGCGUGUAUGCACGUCGAAUGCUAUUUUCGCGGACGACCGCGAGUAAUCGUCCGAAGGACCCUGAAUCUGGGUUAGCCAAUUAGACGAGCCUUUGAAACGCUCCCUUGUCUUUGCCACGAGCCGACGAAUCGAAAUUCAGCGGUCUAUGUUUGUUACACAACGCUUAACCCUCUGCAAUCUGGCGGACGAUUUUCAUACCUUUUUUGUACAAAAUAUUUUCCGGUACAAAUUCACGAACGAAAUUUACAAUUAGAGACAGAAAUAAAUGGACAGGUAAUGGAAGUGGAUAUCGAGUUUACGUACAAUUAAGUUUCAUUUAUCGUACAGGGUAGCUCAGCAAUUGUGGUACAAUUGAUAGUACGAUGAUACUACGUGAGGAACAGAUGAAAACCGUAGAAUAAAAUUGGUUCGUAGAAGUUUCGUUUUCGAGAAAAUUGAAUUUCGACAUUUGUCAGAUAUAACACUUGAACUUGGCUCGUGCGAAAUAAUUUUAUCCUACACUUCCGAUUUCUUUUCUUCCACGUAGCAUCGUUCUAUUAUCGACUGCAUCUCUGCAUUCUUGGGACAACUUGUACAUCCUUAGGGUACACGAAUUAUUUAGCAAAUAAUCGAAAUUUAACAAAAACAUCGAAUUUAAGAAACAUCGAAAGUUUACAACUUUGCGCAAACGAGCCAUAUUUAAUGGAAUUUCAUCGAUACCUAUUCCCGCUAUUUUUGUCCAUCUAUUUUUGGCCGCGACUGAAUGUCUCGUAUAGGUUUGUCACAAAGGGACCUUUCACGCAAUGCAAAAUACGCGACGCGAGAAUGGCGUGGCUCGUCGAAAUUAAGGGAACAAGUAGACGCGAUUUCGGUGUCGCGGUUGACGGGUUAACGAUGGUGGACGUUGUUUGAUUGCGAACGUGGGUGUGAGAGUUUGUUUGAAAUUUUCGCUUCUUAGAAUUAUUAGCGGUUCGUUAUUAUGAUUUUAAGAGGCAGGGAAAAGGAAGGAUUACGCGAAUACGUAUAACUCGGUGAGUGGCUUCGAAAGUAUUUUUGGACCGCUGAAUUCGACUCGCUCUUUUUGCGGCGACCACGAGGUAGAUUUUAGCGGCUGGUAAUUGGUAGAGCAGAAACUGUGACGAUGAGAUUGAGCGUAACUGGAGAAUUUUGAGAAACAAAGAGGAAUAUUGGUAUAGAUCAGACUAUGGAAAGUAAAAAUGUCUGCUGUUUUGUUGAUCGCUAGAAACAGACUGGAAACCUCUUGCAGCAGCUCAACUUCUAAAGAUACAAUACUGCAGCCACAAAAAGUACAUCCAACUGUUGGCAAUCAGAUAUAAUAAAAAUGAGGAAAUAUCGAAUAAAGGCCACACGGGAGAAACAAGAUGAAUCAGAUUCUUCGGAUCUUAUCGAGACGCGAUCUUAAAUUUCAACACAAUGCCGAUUAAUCUUACAGCGACAAUAUUACAUUUUUAUUUGCUUUUUAGAUUAAACGCAUGUAUCUAUAUAUUUGUCACCCUGUUGAACAUUUUCAAAAACAUCGAUAAUCGCAAGAUUCACGAUACCGUUGGUUUUGUAUAACACUUCGUCAAUGUAUCAUCUAUUUUUAGAAAGCUAACAUCGCAGAACCUGACGAACCACCUCUCUUUUGUAUUGUAUUAAAGCAUCGUUUUUUAACUACCGUAAAAAUGGUAUAAAUUGGAAAAGUAGCAACUUUGGAAAUUCACCGGAACCACAUUAUCGCGUUUCCUUCACAUAGUAGUCAAAUAAAAAUGAA